rnacentral:rRNA from 1 species
UUCUGGUUGAUCCCGCCGGACCCUACUGCUAUCGGGAUGGGACUAAGACAUGCUAGUCGUGCGCUUCUAAGCCAUGGUGGAGGCGCGGCGCACAGCUCAGUAACACGUGGUUAACCUGCCCUUGGGACAGAAACACCCCCGGGAAACUGGGGCUAAUUUCCGAUAGGUGAAGACUCCUGGAAUGGAUCUUCGCCUAAAGGGCGCUUAGGCCAUGCUUCUAGGCGCUGCCCAAGGAUGGGACCGCGGCCGAUCAGGUUGUUGGUGAGGUAAUGGCUCACCAAGCCUUUAACCGGUUCGGGCCGUGGGAGCGGGAGCCCGGAGAUGGGCACUGAGACAAGGGCCCAGGUCCUACGGGACGCAGCAGUCGCGAAAACUCCGCAAUACGCGAAGGCGUGACGGGGCUAUCCCGAGUGCCGUCCGCUGAGGAUGGCUUUUCCCCAGUGUAGAUAGCUGGGGGAAUAAGGAGAGGGCAAGUCUGGUGUCAGCCGCCGCGGUAAUACCAGCUCUCCGAGUGGUGGGGACGUUUAUUGGGCCUGAAGCAUCCGUAGCCAGCUGAGCAAGUCCCCAGUUAAAUCCAGCGAUUUAAUCGUUGGACUGCUGGGGAUACUGUCCGGCUUGGGGGUGGGAGAGGCCGACGGUAUUCCCGGGGUAGGGGUGAAAUCCUAUAAUCCCGGGAGGACCACCAGUGGCGAAGGCUGUUGGCUAAAACAUGCCCGACGGUGAGGGAUGAAAGCUGGGGGAGCGAACCGGAUUAGAUACCCGGGUAGUCCCAGCUGUAAACGAUGCAGGCUAGGUGUUAGGGCGGCCACGUGCCGCUCUAGUGCCGCAGGGAAGCUGUUAAGCCUGCCGCCUGGGGAGUACGGCCGCAAGGCUGAAACUUAAAGGAAUUGGCGGGGGAGCAC